AUGGCGUCGCGGGCGCUCGCUAGAGCCGCUUGGGGGCUUCCCCCUCCAUCUCCUCCGGCCUCGAAGGCCCUCGGGGUCAACGAUGACGGCAAAUCCGGCCAAGCAGAGAGGGCCCUUGACCUGUUCGACGCAAUGCCUAGCAAGAACCAGGUGGCUUGGAAUGCCGCGCUCGUCGACGCCGGCCGUACCGAGCAGGCACUGUCCUUCUUCAGUGAGAUGUCCAAGAAGAACGCGGCCUCAUACACCACCAUGAUCGGGGGCCUGUCCCAUGCCAGGGCGGUCACCACGGCGCACCGUCUCUUCGACCAGCUACCACUGGAUGGGCAUAAUGUGUUCACCUGGACGGCCAUGCUGUCUCGCCAUGUCCGCAAUGGUGAGCCCGAUAGAGCUGUUGAGCUUUUUGCAGUCCUCUAG
rnacentral:rRNA from 1 species